GACGAACGCUGGCGGCGUGCUUAACACAUGCAAGUCGAACGGAAAGGCCCUGCUUUUGUGGGGUGCUCGAGUGGCGAACGGGUGAGUAACACGUGAGUAACCUGCCCUUGACUUUGGGAUAACUUCAGGAAACUGGGGCUAAUACCGGAUAGGAGCUCCUGCUGCAUGGUGGGGGGUGGAAAGUUUCGGCGGUUGGGGAUGGACUCGCGGCUUAUCAGCUUGUUGGUGGGGUAGUGGCUUACCAAGGCUUUGACGGGUAGCCGGCCUGAGAGGGUGACCGGCCACAUUGGGACUGAGCUACGGCCCAGACUGCUACGGUAGGCAGCAGUGGGGAAUAUUGCACAAUGGGCGGAGGCCUGAUGCAGCAACGCCGCGUGCGGGAUGACGGCCUUCGGGUUGUAAACCGCUUUCGCCUGUGACGAAGCGUGAGUGACGGUAAUGGGUAAAGAAGCACCGGCUAACUACGUG
rnacentral:rRNA from 1 species